AAAUUAAAAUUUCAAUCAACUAUAAUACUGGAAACCUUCUCCAUUGAGAUAAUGUGCAUGAAUUGUCGCAAAAAAGUGAAGCAGUACAACAAACUGAAAUGCAAAUGCCUUUUGAAAAUAUUGCAACCACAUCAGACCAACAGUCCUCGCAAACUACUAAUAAAACAAUCGUUUCUAUUAAUCGUGUUAAAGUACUUUCCAUAAACAAUACGCUACAAUGUCAAUCCCAGCAGCUUUCAAUGCUUUAUUCCUGUAAAGAGAACUUGGAGCCAAAUUUAAAUGUAUUCUCGCGCUUCGAAACUGUAAAGAAAACACUUGAGAACCAUGUUCAAGGUACCUCUAUAUUAAAUGCUGAACUUAAAAACUCUUUCAAUGAGUCUCAUAGGAAAACCCUCGUACGUAUCGUACUCAGUCAUAUCGUCGUGACUGAGCUUAUUUCAGCGCAAAACGACAAUUUCUAUCCUCCGGAUGAAAGUAAAAUAUCACUUGCGAAUGCAAUUGUUUCCGAAUUCCCUUCAUUAAAAAAUAAUGUGAAAGGAUAUAAAAGAUAUGAACAUUACUUUGAUCCUAAAACUCGGCAGGGAUUUAUUGAAUAUCGAUUAUGGACAAUCCGCGCAAAACUUUCCUCUAAAGACAAAAAAUACUCUGCAUUAGCAAUGAAGAGAAAAGCACAAUACUUAAAGGAAAGUCCUACAGCUUCAGAUAUCGUGGAUGAAACAUAAGCUACCAUCUGACCAUAAUAAAGAAUUGAUCAAACUCUGUCUUCAAAAAACUUUUCUAAAUAGAAGACAAUGGAUCAUAAACUCCGGCCCUAUUAUAUCAAGCAUUUUUUAAACAUAUCCGCGCCUUUUAGACUAUCAUGAUGAAAUAAUAGAACAAGAUCUUGUUAGUAUUUAUCCGAAUUGUACGAACAAGUUCGUGGCCAAAUUUCCUUCCUUUUAUACUAAUAAAAUUCUUACUAACGCCACAGAAAAUUGAUCAGAUGUUAUAAAGAAGAUUGAAAAUCUCCCUGUUAAUGAUGAUGCUUUUCGAGCUCUGAUCGUUCUGAGUCUCCUUUUGCCUCCAUUAAAUUAUUCAAGAAAAAGAGUACAAAGCA